rnacentral:rRNA from 1 species
CGGACGGGUGAGUAAUGCUUGGGAAUCUGGCUUAUGGAGGGGGAUAACUACGGGAAACUGUAGCUAAUACCGCGUAGUAUCGGAAGAUGAAAGUGCGGGACCGUAAGGCCGCAUGCCAUGGGAUGAGCCCAAGUGGGAUUAGGUAGUUGGUGGGGUAAAGGCCUACCAAGCCUGCGAUCUCUAGCUGGUCUGAGAGGAUGGCCAGCCACACUGGAACUGAGACACGGUCCGG